rnacentral:rRNA from 1 species
GAUGAACGCUGGCGGCGUGCCUAAUACAUGCAAGUCGAGCGAACAGACGAGGAGCUUGCUCCUCUGACGUUAGCGGCGGACGGGUGAGUAACACGUGGAUAACCUACCUAUAAGACUGGGAUAACUUCGGGAAACCGGAGCUAAUACCGGAUAAUAUAUUGAACCGCAUGGUUCAAUAGUGAAAGACGGUUUUGCUGUCACUUAUAGAUGGAUCCGCGCCGCAUUAGCUAGUUGGUAAGGUAACGGCUUACCAAGGCGACGAUGCGUAGCCGACCUGAGAGGGUGAUCGGCCACACUGGAACUGAGACACGGUCCAGACUCCUACGGGAGGCAGCAGUAGGGAAUCUUCCGCAAUGGGCGAAAGCCUGACGGAGCAACGCCGCGUGAGUGAUGAAGGUCUUCGGAUCGUAAAACUCUGUUAUUAGGGAAAAACAAAUGUGUAAGUAACUAUGCACGUCUUGACGGUACCUAAUCAGAAAGCCACGGCUAACUACGUG